GUGACCAAGGAGGGUGACCUGAACACGGUCUGGGGAGUGGGAAGCAAACAUGUAAAGGAAGUGUGGUGGGACUGCCAGGCAAAGUGGAUUACACAUUCGAGAUCUGUGGUCACAAGACCAGUUAGCAUGGUCUUCUGCUCCUUCCCAGCAACUGGUGGCCAUCUGGCCGCAGGCUCGGGAAGACAGAUGAGCUAGAAAAGUACACGAAGAGAGACGCAUAUUAGGACCAGCAAGAGGUGACAGCGACUGAGUAGACACCGUGUAAUGAUACCAGAUGAUGAGCAUGGAGGACGACCGCCAACAAGUGUGCGUGGGGAGCGAGUCCUUCGGCAGUCAGGACUUCGCUAUGUGAUGCUACCACAUCUUGAACCUUGCCACUGUCCAUCCUAGUAAAUACAGCCUCUUUCGCAGGACCUACAA